AGUAUAUUUACACAUACGGUUUAUUAUAAUAAAGUUUUAUUAAGAGCGUGGGGUAAACUCGAUUAUUAUGCCGGGCGGAAUACGCACUGAAUAUCGAAGGCUUUCCUCACGGCUGCAACUCACCGCGUACCUUUUCUCCGUAAUCUUAAUUUUGACUCGUUAGCAGACCGUCUGACACGUCUUGACUGCACGUCCGGAUGCUGCCGGAGUUCUCCU